GUGACCUGGAAAUCAGCCCAGGUACGUGGGUCAGGGAGAAAGAGGAAGGCAAGGGUGGGAGAAUACAGGUGCUGGAAAGCAGCACUUUAACUUGGGGACAUGCUCGGAGCAAGUGUGCGGCACACUGGCCUGGGCAAUGACCAGCAUCCAUCCUUUUUGUGGGUCUCUCCAAAUAGACCAGCUCAUUGGCGACAGGAAACUGUGUUGCCCUCCUUUGCAUCCUCUGCAUUAUCCAACGUUAAAGGGAUGCAUUAGUAAGAAAAAGCUGAGAGGCAUUGACAUUUUAUUCCCCCAUCCUUGGGUAGAAGCAGCCAGCACAGGUUUCCAAUGAUCUGGAAGGGAGAUUGUGUAAAGAAGGUUCCAGAAGGGGAGGAGAGUGAGGAAAGAGCUAGUGAAUGGGGCAGACCCAGGCAGCCCAGCUUGAGGGACGACUGGGGAGCUUCCCACAAGAUGAGGGAGGGCCCGGCUUGUUGCUAGAUCUCGUGAGAACCUGUUCUCUUGCAGCAUCAGAGGCAGCCCAGGGAGACUGGAUGCUUUGCACUGGGCACAGUAUUUCAGCUAAGACACACCCGCCUCACUGUCCAGGGCGGGCAGAGAAGCCUCCAAGGAACCACAAGGACCAAGGUAAGGUCAACUUUUCACUCUGCCAUGGGGCAGCUCCAGCAGACAGGCUUUGCCCUCCCCGGAACAGUCCGAGUUUCCUGCUGCAUGAAUCACUAAGUGUCCACCCAGAGAAUCUACACAGUUUUAAUAGCAGGUCAAAGAGAACAGAGUAAGAGAAUAAACCUCCUGCCAAAACCUCACACCCAGAUAGAAAUGACUGGAAUUCGCUAUCCCGAGUCUGGAUCUGCCACGUCCCUGCUCUUCCUCCGCUGAGACUGUGUUAGGAAGGAGCACGCCCGCGGGCUGCCAGCUGAUUGCCCCACUCUGCAGCCCCCUGGGAGCAGUGCAGGAACCGGGGAGCACUCGGAGCGGCGAACCAGCUCUUUGAAAUCUGGGGGGCUCCAUCAGGGAGUAGCUUGCUGCUCUGUGAACGCGUCUUCUAAUUGAGCUCAAAUUGUCUCCACUCUCUCCUGUGACUCCUCACUGCUUUGUGACCCCAUCACAUGGAUUCCUGAGCACAGACCCUCCCUAUGGGUUCUAGCCUCCCACUUUCACCCAGGGCUUUCAGAGGCCUUUUUGGACCAGCAGUUUUGGACCAACCCUUAGGAACAAGUUCUGGAAAGCGAAAGAAAGUGGGUUCUGAGCUGCACACAGGUACCUGGAUAAAGUUGCUUUCAAAUACCACCGAGUCGGAGAACAAGUUGAAUUCUGGAGAAUGAAUCAGUUGACAAAGAAGGCCGUCUUCCACCCCCAGAUCCACUCCAGGGCCUGGUUCCCUGACCUCAGGUGG